GCAGAAUAGACGAUCUCAUUUUCUUAACCGUGGAUCUCCUCCCCUAGACUUGUUGCCUAGGGUAAAAACAUACCUCAGGUAAUUUCUAGUACAAAGAACAAGAAAGCCCUGUGAAGACGGCCUGUUCCAUCCUUCAUCACCCUCGUUACAUCGCCGGUUUGUGCGUCCCCUAAGAACCAUCAUGUGGGUAUCACCUGGGCUGCCACCGUCCACUAGUCACGUCUGCCUGUCCCUGUGCUUAAAGCACUCAUCGUACUUCGCAGAAGAUUCGCUCACACGCCUGUCACCUCCCCACCCUGUGCUCAGGGCGCUGGGGUUACUGAGCAUCCUUCCCGAAAACUCAAAGACUUGCUGCCUUCGGCUCAACCCAGACCAGACUGACAGCUGGUUCGCCUUUGAAGGGAAGUCCUUUGAUUCUAGCUAUUCUACUGGGCUUCUCUGGCGGCUUAGAUGGUAAAGCGUCUGCCUGCAAUGCGGGAGACCUGGGUUCAAUCCCUGGGUCGGGAAGAUCUCCUGGAGAAGGAAAAGGCAACCCACUCCAGUGUUAUGGCCUGAAGAAUUCCAUGAACUGUAUAGUCCAUGCGGUCACAAAGAGUCAGGUAUGACUGAGUGACUUCCACUUUCAUUCUACAGGGCACAUAAUAGUAUCUCACUGUGGUUUUAAUUUGAUGACUAAUGAUGUAGAACAACUUUUCAAGUACUUAUUUGCCAUUUGUAUACCUUCUUUGGUACAGUAUCUAUUAAACUUUUUAAUGGAUUGACUUUUUUUUUUUUUUGACAGCACCUCACAGCUUGUGGGAUCUUAGUUCCCCGAAUAGGAAUAGAACCUUGUGCCCUCAGCACUGAAUGUGUGGAGUCUUAGCCACUGGAAUGCCAGGGAAUUUUUAGUUUCUUAUAAAGCUUUCAGGCUUCCCUUGUAGCUCAGCUGGUAAAGAAUCCACCUGCCAUGCAGGAGACCUGGGUUUGAUCCCUGGUUGGGAAGAUCCCCUGGAGAAGGGAAAGGCUACCCACUCCAGUAUUCUGGCCUGAAGAAUUCCAUGGACUGUAUAGUCCAUGGGGUCACAAAGAGUCAGACACGACUGAGUGACUUUCGCUUUCACUAUAAAGCAUUCACCUCCAAAAUGACCAAGCAAUUCCACUAGUAAAUAUUUACCCACAAGAAAUGAAAACAUAUGGCCACUAAAAUAGUCAUACAAAGAUCUUCAUAACAUAUUGAACCCAGGUCUCCCACGUUGCAGGC
ensembl:lncRNA